UGCAGAGAUCAAGUGGUUCAGAUCACCGAAGCUUGGAGUGGUCAGUUUCAGAGUCCUGAAGCAGAUAUCAUAAAGAGCCUCAUUAUCCAGAACCAUGCACUCAUCUGCAUUCUCCACCAACUGAUGAACAGAGAGUGUGGCAUUAUAAGGCUCAACUACUGUAUCAGAAACCUUCGGGGAGGGGAAUACAGAGAAAGUGAGCAUCAUCCUGUCAGGGUACUCCUCACGAAUCUUUGAAAUGAGCAAGGUGCCCAUUCCAGAACCAGUUCCUCCACCCAAUGAAUGGCAGACCUGGAAACCUUGAAGACAAUCACAAUUCUCCGCCUCCUUCCGAACAACAUCAAGAACGGCAUCAAUAAGCUCAGCACCUUCAGUAUAGUGACCCUUAGCCCAGUUAUUCCCAGCACCAGACUGUCCAAAAACGAAGUUAUCAGGCCU
rnacentral:misc_RNA from 1 species